rnacentral:rRNA from 1 species
UACGUAGGGACCAAGCGUUGUUCGGAUUUACUGGGCGUAAAGGGCGCGUAGGCGGCUUGACAAGUCACUUGUGAAAUCUCCGGGCUUAACUCGGAACGGCCAAGUGAAACUGUCAUGCUAGAGUGCAGAAGGGGCAAUCGGAAUUCUUGGUGUAGCGGUGAAAUGCGUAGAUAUCAAGAGGAACACCUGAGGUGAAGACGGGUUGCUGGGCUGACACUGACGCUGAACUGCGAAAGCUAGGGGAGCGAACGGG